rnacentral:rRNA from 1 species
GAUGAACGCUGGCGGCGUGCCUAAUACAUGCAAGUCGAGCGAAUGGAUUAAGAGCUUGCUCUUAUGAAGUUAGCGGCGGACGGGUGAGUAACGCGUGGGUAACCUGCCCAUAAGACUGGGAUAACUCCGGGAAACCGGGGCUAAUACCGGAUAACAUUUUGAACCGCAUGGUUCGAAAUUGAAAGGCGGCUUCGGCUGUCACUUAUGGAUGGACCCGCGUCGCAUUAGCUAGUUGGUGAGGUAACGGCUCACCAAGGCAACGAUGCGUAGCCGACCUGGGAGGGUGAUCGGCCACACUGGGACUGAGACACGGCCCAGACUCCUACGGGAGGUAGCAGUAGGGAAUCUUCCGCAAUGGACGAAAGUCUGACGGAGCAACGCCGCGUGAGUGAUGAAGGCUUUCGGGUCGUAAAACUCUGUUGUUAGGGAAGAACAAGUGCUAGUUGAAUAAGCUGACACCUUGACGGUACCUAACCAGAAAGCCACGGCUAACUACGUGCCAGCCGCCGCAGUAA